rnacentral:rRNA from 1 species
UGGGGAAUUUUCCGCAAUGGGCGAAACCCUGACGGAGCAAUGCCGCGUGCAGGAUGAAGGCCUCCGGGUUGUAAACUGCUUUUGUACGGAACGAAAAGACUCUGGUUAAUACCUGGGGUCCAUGACGGUACCGUAAGAAUAAGCACCGGCUAACUACGUGCCAGCAGCCGCGGUAAUACGUAGGGUGCAAGCGUUAAUCGGAAUUACUGGGCGUAAAGCGUGCGCAGGCGGUUAUAUAAGACAGAUGUGAAAUCCCCGGGCUCAACCUGGGAACUGCAUUUGUGACUGUAUAGCUAGAGUACGGCAGAGGGGGAUGGAAUUCCGCGUGUAGCAGUGAAAUGCGUAGAUAUGCGGAGGAACACCGAUGGCGAAGGCAAUCCCCUGGGCCUGUACUGACGCUCAUGCACGAAAGCGUGGGGAGCAAACAGGAUUAGAUACCCUGGUAGUCCACGCCCUAAACGAUGUCAACUGGUUGUUGGGUCUUCACUGACUCAGUAACGAAGCUAACGCGUGAAGUUGACCGCCUGGGGAGUACGGCCGCAAGGUUG